rnacentral:rRNA from 1 species
UUAUACAGUGAGACUCGCGCAAUGGCUCAUUAAAUCAGUUAUAAUUUAUUUGAUAUUCACUUACUACUUGGAUAACCGUGGUAAUUCUAGAGCUAAUACAUGCGUACAUAACCUCGACUUCUGGAAGAGGUGCACUUAUUAGAUAAAAAGCCAACGCGGGCAACCGCUUGUAUGGUGAUUCAUAAUAAUUAAUCGAAUCGCAUGGCCUUGUGCCGGCGAUGAUGCAUUCAAAUUUCUGCCCUAUCAAGUUUCGAUGGUAGGUUAGUGGCCUACCAUGCUUUUAACGGGUAACGGGGAAUUAGGGUUCGAUUCCGGAGAGGGAGCCUGAGAAACGGCUACCACAUCCAAGGAAGGCAGCAGGCGCGCAAAUUACCCAAUCCCGACACGGGGAGGUAGUGACAAUAAAUAACAAUACAGGGCCUUUACGGGUCUUGUAAUUGGAAUGAGUACAAUUUAAAUCCCUUAACGAGGAACAAUUGGAGGGCAAGUCUGGUGCCAGCAGCCGCGGUAAUUCCAGCUCCAAUAGCGUAUAUUAAAGUUGUUGCAGUUAAAAAGCUCGUAGUUGAAUUUUGGCCUUCGCCUGUGGGGUUCGGUCUUCAUUGAUCGGUACCUCAACGGGCGGGGCUCCACCUUCUGGGUUAGCCAGUCGUCAUUUCGGUGGCGGCUGGUGAACCAGAACUUUUACUUUGAAAAAAUUGGAGUGUUUAAAGCAGGCUUUCAAGCUUGAACAUAUUAGCAUGGAAUAAUGAAAUAGGACUUUGGCCUUAUUUCGUUGGUUUCUAAAGCCAAAGUAAUGAUGAAUAGGGAUAGUUGGGGACAUUAGUAUUCAAUUGUCAGAGGUGAAAUUCUUGGAUUUAUUGAAGACUAACUUCUGCGAAAGCAUUUGUCAAGGAUGUUUUCAUUAAUCAAGAACGAAAGUUAGGGGAUCGAAGACGAUCAGAUACCGUCGUAGUCUUAACCAUAAACUAUGCCGACUAAGGAUCGGAUGGUGUUAUAUUUUAUAUUGACCCAUUCGGCAUUUCAGCGAAAGCCAAGUUU